ACAGUGGAAAGCCACGUUGGAAUCGUCACGGACUGACGCUCACCUGUCCCAGGUAAAUUCGCGGCAUGAAACAAAUCAGAGAUCCUGGAGAACGACUUCAGGAGCCUGGUUGAGAAGGUACGCAGAACAUCACCCAUGACGAGGAUCACUGUGUAAGGACCACUGCCCACGUUCCAGUGAGGAAUCGAGAGGUUCAGUAGGCUAUUUGCUUUUAAUGAAUGGUUACAGUCAUAGUGUGAAGAUCAGAAAUUACCCUUUGUUGAUAACUGGAAUGUUUUUUGGGAGCAUCCUAGGCUCUACCAUACUAAUGGCCUGCACCCUAGCAGAGUUGGAGCAGCAGUCCUCUCGCACAACAUUUCCAGGACACUACGCACCAUCUGACUGAUAUAUGCAGAAUUCUACAGAGUUACUGGAGUUGAUCUCAGGCAGAUCUUUCUUAGUUACUUGGACUCACUUGCACCACGAUUGAUAAAGCUCUAUAGAUCAAGAAGUGGAGCCUUGGGAGGAGAAACUCAAAUACUCCUAGACAGACUUGAUGAACGGACCACUGCUAUCCUGACACACAGGAUAAUCACACGCAAAUCUGCAGCACUUUGUGGCCUUCCCUUGUUUCUGAGAGAAAAGGAGGGCAAUCUACUGAGAACGUAUCUGGUAAUAUUUUUUAUCUUAUCCGUCAUGUCUAACAUGGCUGGC